ACGGGUGAGUAACGCGUGGGAAUCUACCGUGCCCUGCGGAAUAGCUCCGGGAAACUGGAAUUAAUACCGCAUACGCCCUACGGGGGAAAGAUUUAUCGGGGUAUGAUGAGCCCGCGUUGGAUUAGCUAGUUGGUGGGGUAAAGGCCUACCAAGGCGACGAUCUAUAGCUGGUCUGAGAGGAUGAUCAGCCACAUUGGGACUGAGACACGGUCCACUCUCUACGGGAGGCAGCAGUGGGGAAUAUUGGACAAUGGGCGCAAGCCUGAUCCAGCCAUGCCGCGUGAGUGAUGAAGGCCUUAGGGUUGUAAAGCUCUUUCACCGGAGAAGAUAAUGACGGUAUCCGGAGAAGAAGCCCCGGCUAACUUCGUGCCAGCAGCCGCGGUAAUACGAAGGGGGCUAGCGUUGUUCGGAAUUACUGGGCGUAAAGCGCACGUAGGCGGAUAUUUAAGUCAGGGGUGAAAUCCCAGAGCUCAACUCUGGAACUGCCUUUGAUACUGGGUAUCUUGAGUAUGGAAGAGGUAAGUGGAAUUCCGAGUGUAGAGGUGAAAUUCGUAGA
rnacentral:rRNA from 1 species